rnacentral:rRNA from 1 species
AUUGAACGCUGGCGGCAUGCCUUACACAUGCAAGUCGAACGGAGGCUUCGGCCUUAGUGGCGCACGGGUGCGUAACGCGUGGGAAUCUGCCCCUUGCUUCGGAAUAACAGUUAGAAAUGACUGCUAAUACCGGAUGAUGUCGCAAGACCAAAGAUUUAUCGGCAAGGGAUGAGCCCGCGUAGGAUUAGGUAGUUGGUGGGGUAAAGGCCUACCAAGCCGACGAUCCUUAGCUGGUCUGAGAGGAUGAUCAGUCACACUGGGACUGAGACACGGCCCAGACUCCUACGGGAGGCAGCAGUGGGGAAUAUUGGACAAUGGGGGAAACCCUGAUCCAGCAAUGCCGCGUGAGUGAUGAAGGCCUUAGGGUUGUAAAGCUCUUUUACCCGGGAUGAUAAUGACAGUACCGGGAGAAUAAGCUCCGGCUAACUCCGUGCCAGCCGCCGCCGUAACAC